rnacentral:misc_RNA from 1 species
GCGAAAUGCGAUCAGUAAUGUGAAUUGCAGAAUUCAGUGAAUCAUCGAAUCUUUGAACGCACCUUGCGCUCCUUGGUAUUCCUUGGAGCAUGCCUGUUUGAGUAUCAUGAAAUCUUCAAAGUAAAUCUUUUGUUAACUCAAUUGGUUUCUACUUUGGUAUUGGAGGUCUUUGCAGCUUCACACCUGCUCCUCUUUGUUCAUUAGCUGGAUCUCAGUGUUAUGCUUGGUUCCACUCGGCGUGAUAAGUUAUCUAUCGCUGAGGACACCGUAAAAGGUGGCCAAGGUAAAUGCAGAUGAACCGCUUCUAAUAGUCCAUUGACUUGGACAAUACUUUUAUGAUCUGAUCUCAAAUCAGGUAGGACUACCCGCUGAACUUAA